rnacentral:rRNA from 1 species
AGUGAACGCUGGCGGUAGGCCUAACACAUGCAAGUCGAACGGCAGCACAGGAGAGCUUGCUCUCUGGGUGGCGAGUGGCGGACGGGUGAGGAAUACAUCGGAAUCUACUCUGUCGUGGGGGAUAACGUAGGGAAACUUACGCUAAUACCGCAUACGACCUACGGGUGAAAGCAGGGGAUCUUCGGACCCUGCGCGAUUGAAUGAGCCGAUGUCGGAUUAGCUAGUUGGCGGGGUAAAGGCCCCCCAAGGCGACGAUCCGUAGCUGGUCUGAGAGGAUGGUCAGCCACACUGGAACUGAGACACGGUCCAGACUCCUACGGGAGGCAGCAGUGGGGAAUAUUGGACAAUGGGCGCAAGCCUGAUCCAGCCAUACCGCGUGGGUGAAGAAGGCCUUCGGGUUGUAAAGCCCUUUUGUUGGGAAAGAAAUCCAGCUGGCUAAUACCCGGUUGGGAUGACGGUACCCAAAGAAUAAGCACCGGCUAACUUCGUGCCAGCCGCCGCCGUAA